rnacentral:rRNA from 1 species
AUUGAACGCUGGCGGCAGGCCUAACACAUGCAAGUCGAGCGGAGCGGCGGACGGGUGAGUAAUGCCUAGGAAUCUGCCUGGUAGUGGGGGAUAACGUCCGGAAACGGGCGCUAAUACCGCAUACUAUCAGAUGAGCCUAGGUCGGAUUAGCUAGUUGGUGGGGUAAAGGCCUACCAAGGGGCAGAUCCGUAUCUGGUCUGAGAGGAUGAUCAGUCACACGGAAACUGAGACACGGUCCGUACUCCUCGGGGAGUCACCAGGGGGGAAUAUUGGACAAUGGGCGAAACCCUGAUCCAGCCCUGCCGCGGGUGUGAAGAAGGUCUUCGGUUUGUAAAGCACUUUAAGUUGGGAGGCGUUACCAACAGAAUAAGCACCGGCUAACUUCGUGCCAGCCGCCGCGGUAAUUC